rnacentral:lncRNA from 1 species
UGUUUUGUGUGGACCCCAGGAAGAGUAGCUGCUGCUUUUGCAACAGCUAAUGGGGAGCCUAAUAAAAUACCAAAUAUACACAGGUUGAAACCAACAAGCUUGUCAGUUCCAAUCCCAGUCACACCUUUUGUUUUCCAACUUUAUCGAACAUUCGUAACUAAUCCCAUGUCAAAUCUACUGCUGUUCUAAUCUAACCUUCUGACUGGCGCUGGGAUAGGGAGGGUAAGGUCACGGGUGUGGAGUCUCCCUCCUGCUGGGAGGUGGACUCAGCUACUAAUCUACCUUCUGACUGGCGCUGGGAUAAGGGAGGGUAAGGUCACGGGUGUGGAGUCUCCCUCCUGCUGGGAGGUGGACUCAGCUACUAAUCUACCUUCUGACUGGCGCUGGGAUAGGGAGGGUAAGGUCACAGGUGUGGAGUCUCCCUCCUGCUGGGAGGUGGACUCAGCUACUAAUCUACCUUCUGACUGGCGCUGGGAUAGGGAGGGUAAGGUCACGGGUGUGGAGUCUCCCUCCUGCUGGGAGGUGGACUCAGCUACUAAUCUACCUUCUGACUGGCGCUGGGAUAGGGAGGGUAAGGUCACAGGUUAUAAUCUUGCUGAUGCCCAAUCUCAAAACGAUUUGUCAGUUUGUCAUUGCGGUAAAAACACAUUUCACUCAUAUUGUUAGUCAAUGUCUUUUUUAUUUACAAAUUUGGGAGUAAUAGAUAACUGAAUAACUCUACAUGUACACCGGCACAGCAAUAAAGAAAAUGUAGUCUUUUGAGGAAAC